rnacentral:rRNA from 1 species
GACGAACGCUGGCGGCGUGCUUAACACAUGCAAGUCGAACGGAAAAGCCCUGCUUUUGUGGGGUGCUCGAGUGGCGAACGGGUGAGUAACACGUGAGUAACCUGCCCUUGACUUUGGGAUAACUUCAGGAAACUGGGGCUAAUACCGGAUAGGAGCUCCUGCUGCAUGGUGGGGGUUGGAAAGUUUCGGCGGUUGGGGAUGGACUCGCGGCUUAUCAGCUUGUUGGUGGGGUAGUGGCUUACCAAGGCUUUGACGGGUAGCCGGCCUGAGAGGGUGACCGGCCACAUUGGGACUGAGAUACGGCCCAGACUCCUACGGGAGGCAGCAGUGGGGAAUAUUGCACAAUGGGCAGAAGCCUGAUGCAGCAACGCCGCGUGCGGGAUGACGGCCUUCGGGUUGUAAACCGCUUUCGCCUGUGACGAAGCGUGAGUGACGGUAAUGGGUAAAGAAGCACCGGCUAACUACGUG